UCCGAAUUAGUCUAGAGGUUAUGAUACCAGACUCUCACUCUGGUGACCCGGGUUCGAACCCCGGAUUCGGAG